GAGGACAGCUGUAAAAUAACCAUCUGUAUUUUGGGGUCAUAUCGAUUUCGGACCGAUGUCCUAUAUGGUAGGUCGGUAGAUAACCAAAUUGAUCACAAUACUCUAUCGAAAGCUAAUUCAAGUCAGCUCAGAUUGGUGUUUAGAUGAGCUGAGUUGAAACAGAUCGAUAUUUAGUUGAGUUGAAUUGAACCAGGGUGGUAUUCAGCUUUCUGAUGAGGUCAGGUUUAUAAUGAUCUCAACCUUCCAUUCAGAUCGGUUUUAUAAUGAUCUCAAUCUCCCGUUCAAGUCAGCUUUAUAAUGAUUUCAGCUCCCAGUUGAGGUCGGCUUUAUGAUGAGCUCAAUUGAGAUCGAUUUUAUGAUGAUCUCAGCCUUCCAUUGAGAUCGGCUUUCUGAUGAUCUCCAUAGUCAAGCUUCAUUUCUGAGUCUCGAGGAUAUC
rnacentral:lncRNA from 1 species